UACGAAGGGGGCUAGCGUUGCUCGGAAUCACUGGGCGUAAAGGGUGCGUAGGCGGGUCUUUAAGUCAGGGGUGAAAUCCUGGAGCUCAACUCCAGAACUGCCUUUGAUACUGAAGAUCUUGAGUUCGGGAGAGGUGAGUGGAACUGCGAGUGUAGAGGUGAAGUUCGUAGAUAUUCGCAAGAACACCAGUGGCGAAGGCGGCUCACUGGCCCGAUACUGACGCUGAGGCACGAAAGCGUGGGGAGCAAACAGG
rnacentral:rRNA from 1 species